rnacentral:hammerhead_ribozyme from 1 species
GCACUGCUGAGGAGUCCCAAAAUAGGACGACAUGGCCGUCCAGUGC